rnacentral:rRNA from 1 species
UUAAACUGAAGAGUUUGAUCCUGGCUCAGAUUGAACGCUGGUGGCAUGCUUAACACAUGCAAGUCGAACGGUAACAGGUCUUAGGAUGCUGACGAGUGGCGGACGGGUGAGUAACGCGUAGGAAUCUGCCCAUUUGAGGGGGAUACCAGUUGGAAACGACUGUUAAUACCGCAUAAUAUCUGUGGAUUAAAGGUGGCUUUCGGGCUGUCGCAGAUGGAUGAGCCUGCGUUGGAUUAGCUAGUUGGUGGGGUAAGGGCCCACCAAGGCUACGAUCCAUAGCUGAUUUGAGAGGAUGAUCAGCCACAUUGGGACUGAGACACGGCCCAAACUCCUACGGGAGGCAGCAG